rnacentral:rRNA from 1 species
AUUGAACGCUGGCGGCAUGCUUUACACAUGCAAGUCGAACGGUAACAGGGAGCUUGCUCCGCUGACGAGUGGCGAACGGGUGAGUAAUGCAUCGGAACAUGCCCAGUCAUGGGGGAUAACUACGCGAAAGCGUAGCUAAUACCGCAUACGCCCUGAGGGGGGAAAGUGGGGGAUCUUAGGACCUCACGUGAUUGGAGUGGCCGAUGUCAGAUUAGCUAGUUGGUGAGGUAAAAGCCUACCAAGCCUUCGAUCUGUAGCUGGUCUGAGAGGACGACCAGCCACACUGGAACUGAGACACGGUCCAGACUCCUACGGGAGGCAGCAGUGGGGAAUUUUGGACAAUGGGCGCAAGCCUGAUCCAGCAAUGCCGCGUGCAGGAUGAAGGCC